UCCAGUUUAUCACCGGCAGUCCCCCUAGAGUGCCCACCAUGACGUGAUGGCAACUAAGGGCAAAGGUUGCGCUCGUUGCGGGACUUAACCCAACACUUCACAGCACGAGCUGACGACAGCCAUGCAGCACCUGUAUAUCUGUCCCUUGCGGGAAGAUCCGCUUUCACGGACUGUCAGAUACUUUUCAAGCCUGGGUAAGGUUCUUCGCGUAGCCUCGAAUUAAACCACAUGCUCCACCGCUUGUGCGGGUCCCCGUCAAUUUCUUUGAGUUUCAGUCUUGCGACCGUACUCCCCAGGUGGUGGAUUUAAUGCGUUAGCGUCGGCACCGGAGGGAUCGACACCUCCAACACCUAAUCCACAUCGUUUACGGCAAGGACUAC
rnacentral:misc_RNA from 1 species